rnacentral:rRNA from 1 species
GCCCCGCGGCGUAUUAGCUAGUUGGUGAGGUAAUGGCUCACCAAGACAGCGAUGGGUAGCCGGCCUGAGAGGGUGAACGGCCACACUGGAACUGAGACACGGUCCAGACUCCUACGGGAGGCAGCAGUGGGGAAUAUUGCACAAUGGAGGAAACUCUGAUGCAGCGACGCCGCGUGAACGACGAAGGCCUUCGGGUCGUAAAGUUCUGUCCUUGGGGACGAUAAUGACGGUACCCAAGGAGGAAGUCCCGGCUAACUACGUGCCAGCAGCCGCGGUAAUACGUAGGGGGCGAGCGUUGUCCGGAAUUAUUGGGCGUAAAGGGUUCGCAGGCGGUUCCUUAAGUCAGAUGUUAAAUGCAUAGGCUCAACCUAUGAGUGCAUUUGAAACUGGGGAACUUGAGUUAAGGAGAGGAAAGUGGAAUUCCUAGUGUAGCGGUGAAAUGCGUAGAUAUUAGGAGGAAUACCAGUGGCGAAGGCGACUUUCUGGACUUAAACUGACGC